rnacentral:rRNA from 1 species
AUUUGACCUCAGAUCAGGUAGGACUACCCGCUGAACUUAAGCAAU